CAUAGGCGGCUAUAGGCCCGGGCAAGCCAGGGCUUUGCCCUGGUAGUUUUCAACCAAAACCACACCCAAAAGCCACAACUGUUUAUACUUGCUAUCAGCUCCA
rnacentral:lncRNA from 1 species